rnacentral:rRNA from 1 species
AACGAACGCUGGCGGCGUGCCUAAUACAUGCAAGUCGAGCGAGAAAGUCUCUUCGGAGAUGAGUAAAGCGGCGCACGGGUGAGUAACACGUGGGCAAUCUGCCCUCGAGUCUGGGAUAACCCGGGGAAACUCGGGCUAAUACCGGAUACGGCUACGGGGUCUUCGGAUCCUGUGGAGAAAGAUGGCCUCUUCUUGAAAGCUAUCUCUCGAGGAUGAGCCCGCGUCCUAUAGCUAGUUGGUGGGGUAACGGCUCACCAAGGCAAAGAUGGGUAGCUGGUCUGAGAGGAUGACCAGCCACACUGGAACUGAGACACGGUCCAGACUCCUACGGGAGGCAGCAGUAGGGAAUUUUGGGCAAUGGGCGAAAGCCUGACCCAGCAACGCCGCGUGUGGGAUGAAGGCCCUCGGGUCGUAAACCACUGUCAGGAGGAAAGAAAGUCGGCCGGGUAAUAUUCGGUCGACCUGACGGUACCCCAAAGGAAGCACCGGCUAACUCCGUGCCAGCAGCA